rnacentral:telomerase_RNA from 1 species
CUUCAGUAAGGUGCUGGUCAUGAACCAGCGAUCUAACCCUAAGGGUUACUGGCUUUGUCCAGGUUCUUGCUCAGUUUCUGAGCAAUCAAGCACAGCUCUGUCCUCGUUGCACUCGCCGAGUGUGUUUUUGAGGUUUUCUUUCGCACAAGGCAAGAGGAUUUGAGCUUCGGACAAGAAACCUUGGAAGGCAGUCAACGAGUAUGGAUCCAACACUGGAAAAUGCAGUCGCCUUCGACGCUGGAAAUGAUGCAAAGAUUUUGGGGAAUGCAGCCAUAAGAACCCAGC